GACGAACGCUGGCGGCGUGCUUAACACAUGCAAGUCGAACGAAGUGGCGAACGGGUGAGUAACGCGUAAUAAACCUGCCCUUCAGAGGGGGACAACAGUUGGAAACGACUGCUACUACCGAAUACUGCAGUCGGGGCUUGCGGUUGAUUAGCUAGUUGGGGGGGUAACGGCCCACCACGGCGAUGAUCAGUAGCCGGUCUGAGAGGAGAACCGGCCACACUGGAACUGAAACACGGCCCAGACUCCAACGGGAGGCAGCAGUGGGGAAUCUUCCGCAAGGGACGAAGUCUGACGGAGCAACGCCGCGGGAGUGAUGACGGCCUUCGGGUUGUAAAGCUAUGUUAAUCGGGACGCGGUACCGGAAUAGAAAGCCACGGCUAACUACGUGCCAGCCGCCGCGGUAAUAC
rnacentral:rRNA from 1 species